rnacentral:rRNA from 1 species
GACGAACGCUGGCGGCGUGCUUAACACAUGCAAGUCGAACGGCAAGGCACUGCUUUUGUGGGGUGCUCGAGUGGCGAACGGGUGAGUAACACGUGAGUAACCUGCCCUUGACUUUGGGAUAACUUCAGGAAACUGGGGCUAAUACCGGAUAGGAGCUCCUGCUGCAUGGUGGGGGUUGGAACGUUUCGGCGGUUGGGGAUGGACUCGCGGCUUAUCAGCUUGUUGGUGGGGUAGUGGCUUACCAAGGCUUUGACGGGUAGCCGGCCUGAGAGGGUGACCGGCCACAUUGGGACUGAGAUACGGCCCAGACUCCUACGGGAGGCAGCAGUGGGGAAUAUUGCACAAUGGGCGGAAGCCUGAUGCAGCAACGCCGCGUGCGGGAUGACGGCCUUCGGGUUGUAAACCGCUUUCGCCUGUGACGAAGCGUGAGUGACGGUAAUGGGUAAAGAAGCACCGGCUAACUACGUG